rnacentral:rRNA from 1 species
AGAGAGAAGCUUGCUUUUCUCAAGUUAGUGGCGGACGGGUGAGUAACACGUGAGCAACCUGCCUUUGAGAGGGGGAUAGCUUCUGGAAACGGAUGGUAAUACCCCAUAACAUACAUUUAAGGCAUCUUAGAUGUAUCAAAAGAAAUUCGCUCAAAGAUGGGCUCGCGUCUGAUUAGAUAGUUGGUGAGGUAACGGCCCACCAAGUCGACGAUCAGUAGCCGGACUGAGAGGUUGAACGGCCACAUUGGGACUGAGAUACGGCCCAGACUCC